rnacentral:SRP_RNA from 1 species
GCUGGGCGCGAUGGCUCAUGCCUGUAAUCCCAGCAUUUUGGGAGGCCGAGGCGGGCGGAUCACUUGAGGUCAGGAGUUCAAGACCAGCCUGGCCAAUAUAGUGAAACCCCGUCUCUA